rnacentral:rRNA from 1 species
GACGAGGGGUCCUAGCGUUGUUCGGAAUCACUGGGCGUAAAGCGUUUGUAGGCGGCUCUAUAAGUCGGGUGUGAAAUCCCAUGGCUCAACCAUGGAAGUGCAUUCGAAACUGCAGAGCUUGAGUAUGGAAGAGGAGAGUAGAAUUCCUGGUGUAGUGGUGAAAUACGUAGAUAUCAGGAGGAAUACCGGAGGCGAAGGCGACUCUCUGGUCCAAUAUUGACGCUGAGAAACGAAAGUGCGGGGAUCAAACAGG